CUUGCAAGGGAACCUGGAGGCUGCUGCGCUGGAAUUCCUUCUUGAGAAAGAGAUGUUCCACCAUCUCUUGCAGGCUCCGCUCCACGUUCUCACCUGCAAAGGAAGAUGCAAAAGAAAGCCCCAGUCAAUCUAUGGAAAGAAGGAGACAAGGGUUUCCAGCUCCUGGACCAUCUUCUCCAGUUGCAGGGCAAGGCAGAGGAAUCUCAGGCCCUCAUCUUGUGUGUGGGAUCUGAAGUUUUGUGAAGUACCAGCACUCUUGGGCAGAGAAGGCUAAAGACCCUGUAAAACUAGAAAUCCCAGGAUUCCAUAGGAUGGAGCUACAGCACUUAAAGUGGUGUCAAACGGCAUUGUUUCUACAAUACAGAUGCACCCUUGAUGUUGGGUCCUUCACCUGUCUUGGCCGACACUUUGAAUCUCUCCGAUGCGCAAUGCUCCACUGCAAACUUCUCGGCUUUGUCUUCAGAGACGCGGUUUUCCAGGUCGCUCUUAUUACCCAAAAGGAAGAUAUCAGCUACGGAGAAGAGAGAAAGGAUAGCAAGCUGUGAGAACAAGACUUAAUCUGAAGUAAGGUGCAGAGAAAGUGGACAGAGAAUGUAUCAGAACCCAAAAGGAUAAUCCAAUAAAGUUGAAUUCCUGGGAUUUCUAGUUUGUUGUGGUGCCAGAGCUCUCUGACAGCGAAUGCUAAAUAGCUCACACAAAUAUGAAUCCCAGAAUUUAACUGUCAUGGCAGUUAAAGAAGUGUCACACUGCAUUAAUUCUGGAGUGUAGACAUAGCCUAGGAAGUAUGUUAUAAAGCUUUCAAAACAGCAAAUCAAUUUACAAUUUGGAAUAUUUUCCAAGACAGUUGUGUAAAGUAAAUAACAGUGAUUGGGAAGUAAAUGAAUGUUUUUCAAGUUGUUUAUUAUAAUGAUUUUAAUCUGUUAAUAAAAUCUAAGGAGCCAUGAUUUCUCUGCAAAUUUACUGAGAAACUAUCCCCUUGAUAUUUCUUCAAAUAUAUUACUUGCUAAAGUUAAGAUGACUAAAGAUGGGUUUCUCUGAUGAAGCACUGAAUGCCUGUAAGGCGUCCAUUCUCAUGUCAAAGUUGAGGAUGAAUUUUCUCAUACGGUUGUAGAUGCACCAGAGUCCUGCAUUGUACACAUUGUUGUUAUUGUGUGCCUUCAAGUUGUUUCUGGACUUAU